GAUAAACACAUGUGAUGCUAUCUUGUUUGAAGAGAAGUGUCUUGUAUCUGAUUGCGGAAUUUUAGUCUUUCGUUAGUGCCCAUUCAUUGCUAUUGAUCUAACCUCUCAGGCUCAGUAAGAAGUAGGUUGUUGCAGGUUUUGUCUGAUUGAGGUGGUACAGGCCUACAUAACAGCAAUGAGUAAAGCCGUAUCAACAGCACCAUCUGCUCCAUCGUUUGAUGAGCAGUAUCUGGUGGGCCAUAAUAUGCCAUCUCCUCCUCCAAGCUAUGAACAAGCAAUGAGACAUCCAGAAUUUAUACCCCUACCAGGCCAGCCAGCAAUAGGACCAUUUCAACAGCAGAACUACAUGUGUCCUGGAAUUCCGCCGCCUACUGUACAGCAGCCAGUGCCCCCUCCACCACAUCCGGCUCCAGUUAUUCCUCCACAAAUCACGACUGUCAUUGUUACGGGCACCAUGCCUAUGGGUCCACACCCAGCCAAGAUCCGUUGCCCCGUUUGCCACAUGGAUAUCAAAACAACGACAGUAUCAGAGAACAAAGCUGGCGCUCAUGUUGCUUGUAUCUGUCUCUUCUUGGUCGGGUGCUGCUUGUGUUCAUGCAUACCGUACUGCAUGGAUUCCUUCAAAAAUGUGAGACACUCUUGCCCCAACUGUAAGAGCUACCUUGGGAUGUACAACCCAUAAACCGUCUGCGAGAGAUCUGUGAGUUGUCCUGAGACAAGUCUUGUCUAUUGACUGAUGAGUGAAAGACAUUAAUAUAAGAUAAGAGCAGUUUAGUUGGCCAUGGGCUUUUUUCAACAAGUAACCUGUAACAAGUGUUACAGUUUGAAAAUUAGAAUUUGAAUACAGUAAAUCUGAACAUUACCAUAUUUACUUGAAUGUAAAAUUGUGCAGAAGAUCAAAUUUCAUUAUCAUUUUUGUCAGCAGGCUUUGUUAGCUGAUCGGUAUUGUGCUUGGCUCCAUUAUGACAUCAUAAGCUUGGUUAUUGCCGGUUAUAUAUUUACAACUAUUUUAUGUAAUAAAUAAGAAGACUUAGAAGAUUUCCGUCUUCUGGGUUGUUGCGCUGUGUAGUCUGGUCGAUGUUAACCAACGUUUCAGAGGUCAUACUGCCUCCGUCAUCAUACUCACCGCUGUGAGAACCUCAAGCCUUACAAGAAGACUUAGAACAAGGAAAAUUGGAUCAUGGUUUGAUUAAUGAUGAAUUAAAGGCUAGUAUGAGAGACUCCUUUUCUUGGGAAUUUGCGGUUGUCCUGGGAAGGUACAAAAUAUCUGUAGACUUCUCCAUCUGUCAUUUCUUAUAUCCAUUAUUCACUACUUAAUAUCAUUAUUUCCAUAUUUGUCAUUGGUUCUCAUAUUCUUGUUUCUAUCUGUCAUACAUUAUGCUAUUCAGCAAUCCCUAUCUGCCAGAAACCUUUUGUCUACAACUUUUGUGUCUUAUGUACAGUACUUUAUUUUUGCAAUAAACUCAGUGCCCAUGUCUCUGAAGACUUAUGAGAAAGCUAAGGGGGCAUGUGUAGUCACCAGUUCGUAAACGUUCAGAAUUUUAUUAUCGUUGGUUUUGAAGGUGGCAAAUGAAUAUCCAGUAUUAUACAUGAACAUGGAAUACUGCCUCCAACAGUGAGAAGAAUUGUAGCCGAUGAAGAAAAAUAUAAAGCUAUUACAAAAUUAGGAUGCCUGGCACAAAUUUUUAUUGAAAAUGGAGAAAUUUUUUAUUUGUAUUUCUGAUCUAUAAGAUAAAGAGCUAUUAUGAAUUCAGCUUUGAUAAGGUUAAAGCUAAGAGGUUUUUUUUACAGUAUCAGAGCUAUUUUUUAUUGGUGUUUGUGGUCAAGUUAUGAUUUCCCUAGAAUGAAUUGUCACAACAAGCAUGUUUUUUGCUCAAAUUGUUUAUCUGUUAGACUUUUAAGCAACCAGUGUAUGGACAUCAAGGGCCCAUUUUACUGUGUUAGGUUGCCGUGUGGUAUUUCUAAUGUAAAUUUAAUUUUAAGACUGAAUAU